AAGUCGUAACAAGGUUUCCGUAGGUACGUUAAGCCAAUCUUUCUUACUUCGUCUACCCUUUUUUUGUCUUCAGUUAACUAAUGUCUUUAUAGGUGAACCUGCGGAAGGAUCAUUAAUGGGUUACCGGACUUCGGUCCGACCUCCAACCCUGUGUUUAACUACCAUGUUGCUUUGGCGGGCCCGCCUUUAACCGGGCCGCCGGGGGCCCUUGGGCCUCGGGUCAGUGCUCGCCAGUAGCCUAUUUAAAUUCUUUUAAUCAUGUCGUCUGAGUUAUACAGUUAAAUCGUUAAAACUUUCAACAACGGAUCUCUUGGUUCUG
rnacentral:misc_RNA from 1 species